AGUGAACGCUGGCGGUAGGCCUAACACAUGCCAGUCGAACGGCAGCACAGUAAGAGCUUGCUCUUACGGGUGGCGAGUGGCGGACGGGUGAGGAAUACAUCGGAAUCUACUUUUUCGUGGGGGAUAACGUAGGGAAACUUACGCUAAUACCGCAUACGACCUACGGGUGAAAGCAGGGGAUCUUCGGACCUUGCGCGAUUGAAUGAGCCGAUGUCGGAUUAGCUAGUUGGCGGGGUAAAGGCCCACCAAGGCGACGAUCCGUAGCUGGUCUGAGAGGAUGAUCAGCCACGCUGGAACUGAGACACGGUCCAGACUCCUACGGGAGGCAGCAGUGGGGAAUAUUGGACAAUGGGCGCAAGCCUGAUCCAGCCAUACCGCGUGGGUGAAGAAGGCCUUCGGGUUGUAAAGCCCUUUUGUUGGGAAAGAAAAGCAGCAGGUUAAUACCCCGCUGUUCUGACGGUACCCGAAGAAUAAGCACCGGCUAACUUCGUG
rnacentral:rRNA from 1 species